rnacentral:rRNA from 1 species
AGCGAACGCUGGCGGCAGGCCUAACACAUGCAAGUCGAACGAUCCUUCGGGAUAGUGGCGGACGGGUGAGUAACACGUGGGAACGUGCCCUUUGGUUCGGAAUAACUCAGGGAAACUUGAGCUAAUACCGGAUGUGCCCUUCGGGGGAAAGAUUUAUCGCCAUUGGAGCGGCCCGCGUUGGAUUAGCUAGUUGGUGGGGUAAAGGCCCACCAAGGCUACGAUCCAUAGCUGGUCUGAGAGGAUGAUCAGCCACACUGGGACUGAGACACGGCCCAGACUCCUACGGGAGGCAGCAGUGGGGAAUCUUGCGCAAUGGGCGAAAGCCUGACGCAGCCAUGCCGCGUGAAUGAUGAAGGUCUUAGGAUUGUAAAAUUCUUUCACCGGGGACGAUAAUGACGGUACCCGGAGAAGAAGCCCCGGCUAACUUCGUGCCAGCCGCCGCCGUAACAC